AUUGAACGCUGGCGGCAGGCCUAACACAUGCAAGUCGAGCGGAUGACGGGAGCUUGCUCCUUGACUCAGCGGCGGACGGGUGAGUAAUGCCUAGGAAUCUGCCUGGUAGUGGGGGACAACGUUUCGAAAGGAACGCUAAUACCGCAUACGUCCUACGGGAGAAAGCAGGGGACCUUCGGGCCUUGCGCUACCAGAUGAGCGUAGGUCGGAUUAGCUUGUUGGUGGGGUAUUGGCUCAGCACGGCGACGAACCGUAACUGGACAGAGAGGAUUCCUAAUCACACAGGAACUGAGACACGGUCCAGACUCGUACGGGAGGAAGAAGUGGGGAAUAUUUGACAAUGGGCGAAAGCCUGAUCCAGCCAUGCCGCGUGUGUGAAGAAGGUCUUCGGAUUGUAAAGCACUUUAAGUUGGGAGGAAGGGUUGUAGAUUAAUACUCUGCAAUUUUGACGUUACCGACAGAAUAAGCACCGGCUAACUCUGUGCCAGCCGCCGCCGUAA
rnacentral:rRNA from 1 species